UAAGUUAAAGGUAACACGACAUUAAUAGCUAACUUCGAUUGAACUGUAAUAUCACUAGAAACAAGACAGUUCAUAUAUUCUCAACAAAAUGUGUAACAGUGAUAUCAAAUGAGUGGAGGUGGUUCUAGUAAAACAGAUUAUGAAAUCGCCCAACCACAUCAGUUGAGCUUCAUUGAGGCAAAUGAUGCAGCCAGGUCCACUGCCGAACUCACCUGGGAAGCAUCCGUUCCCUGAAACCAAAAUAGCAUAUAUAGAAAUUGUGAUCUCUUUGUGGACCGGAACUCGACUGAAGACUAAAGAGAAACAUCAUAUACCUGUCCCGAAGCGAGACCACUUUUUCCUUUCCCGCAUUUCCCUUUUAUGGGACUUAACGCAGACUGCAGCCAUUCUGUGACGUCUAAUUGCUUGAACUGAUCAGAUUUGUCUGGAACUCCAGCACACACAACCGCCUUAUUUGUGCUUUCAUCUGUGCUGAACACCAUUACAGACAUUCCCUGCAAGAUUCACCAACAAGCCCUUACGUUAAACUUCAUUACUUCUAGGAACAAUGCUCUAAGGAUAUACGGAUACCUUCUUUUGCAUCACUUUUGAAACGGCCUCUCGAACUGCAGCUGCAUCAAGUCCCACAUCAAGCUGGACAAUGCAGAAGUUUUUCCCAUCUGAUGUUGCAGACUCAGCUGCCUCUAUUGCUAUUUCUACAGAUUUCUUCAGGUUUUCCUUUGCUAUUUUCUUUUGAGCUGUUCUCACUUCAUUCUGUGAUGUAAGAAGAAAAAACAGCCACUUUAAUAUUCUCUUGACCAUAAUCCAAACUAAAUAGAUGGCAAUAUUACCUGAAGCUGAGCAAUCUUGGCUUUGAUAUCCGCCCUUUUGGCUGCAGGGAUAUCUACUUCAUCUACUCGUCUUUUCAAAGCAUUAACUUUCUGCGAAUGUGCAAAAGAAACUAACACAAUCAGUGUUUCACAUUAAUAAGAGCAGAACACAGGGUGUCUUAGUUUGUCAAGGGAUGAGAGAGAACCUUUUCUAGUGCAUUUCCCACCGCCUUGGAUGCCUCAUCUACUUCUUUUUCAAGCAAAGACGCCGUAUUCAGAGCAUCAAAUGCAGAUUUAGUAGUGACAGCAAUUAUCCUACGAAUACCUUUCGAAAUGCCAUCCUCUGAUAGAAGAGCAAACGCUUUGGCUUCGCGUGUGUUUGUUAUGUGGGUUCCUGUAAAUUUCAAAAGAACCCAAUAUUCAAUAUUCUUUUCAGAAAAAAGGAUCUCUUGGUCCAAGUAACUAACGCCAGUGGAAACCGACCUCCACAAAACUCGGAUGAAAGUGAUGACCAUUCAUCGUUUUCAGGGUCAGCCAAGAGGUCCUCCACCCGUCUCCCAAUUGCAACCACUCUGACAGGAUCAGGGUAGACCUAAAUGGAAAAGAGAACAAGCUUUCACAAACUGUACAAAACAAAACUAAAAAGGCACAGCAAACGAACUGAUGGAGAGCUUACUUCUCCAAACACUGCUCUUAGACCUUUGAUGCGCUUGGCUUCAGAGAGAACAGAUUCCUUUGAAUAUACUUCUAAUUCAUCCUUAAUUUGUGUAUUCACUAUGGACUCGAUCUUUCUCAAAUCUUCAGGAUCAACCGGCAUACCUACUCAAAAUUGCGGAAACCCAUUAAGACACUCAAAAUGAUCAUCAACAUCAAAAUAAAAUUGCCUCACUAAGAAUGUACCAUGGGAGAAAUCAAAUCGUAGUUUUUCAGGAAGAACUAUUGACCCCUUCUGAUCAAUAUGAUCCCCGAGCACUUCCUGGAUUCAUGGGGCAUAUAUGUUUUGAGAUACAUGAAAAAAAAAAACAAUCCAAGUUCAGUUUGCCGCGUAGCCCUUAUGAAAAGAAUCCAAAGUCAGCCGUUUGCCCUCUUCAACAUCAGGAAUGCGUAAUUCAGCAAAGUUGAAUCUCAAAUGGCAAAUUGAAAAAUGAGAUAUUUCAAGUGAUAGUUAACAUAGUAAUACUAUAAGUUAAAGGUAACACGACAUUAAUAGCUAACUUCGAUUGAACUGUAAUAUCACUAGAAACAAGACAGUUCAUAUAUUCUCAACAAAAUGUGUAACAGUGAUAUCAAAUGAGUGGAGGUGGUUCUAGUAAAACAGAUUAUGAAAUCGCCCAACCACAUCAGUUGAGCUUCAUUGAGGCAAAUGAUGCAGCCAGGUCCACUGCCGAACUCACCUGGGAAGCAUCCGUUCC
rnacentral:lncRNA from 1 species